rnacentral:lncRNA from 10 species
GGACAACCAUCUCAUAUUGCCAGGGAGAAGGUGAGACUUCGGGUGAAGAGGUGGCUCGCCCAGAGGCACAGUCAACAGAUGAUGAAGCCAGGACAGGAACCUGCAAUCUGGCUCCUGCUAGUAGAACGAUCACUCUGGCUCCUGGGUGUGGAGUGGAACAACCUGCAUUUAGUUAGAGAUGAGCGCACAGACAUGGGUGAGGGCCUCUUCUGCAAAGAUCAGCCUCCUGCAAAAACUUUUAGUGCUGAGAACUUCAGGAUACACCUGCUGAGAGGGGCAUCAAGGACUUCAGCUCCUAACCACCCAGAGUGGAAGGCCAUUUGACUUCAUGGAAGCUUUUCAACCACAAAAGCCAGCUCCCACUCCCACAGCUGUUUCUGAUUUGAGACUCAGCUGGGGGCCAUCCCUCCUGGGGACAGAUGUCAAGAAAGAGAUCUCCUGAGUUCACCUGUGCAUCCAAGGGAGAUGGCUCCGAGAUUUACAGAGGGACCCCUGGCCGGCUCUCAUUACUUAGGAACCAGCGACCUAAUCUCAAAGGGUUGGGGCCUUGUUCCCACUUCCUGAGAACAUGACAUGCUUGCAACUCCAGUUUCUCCUCCAUUGGGGAUUUUUUUCUUUUUCCCAAGCUCUCAAACCAUUGGGUGUCUGGAAGCCUAAGUUGGCCCAAACCACACAGAGUGGGGGAGAGAGAAUGCAGCCCCAGAUCUCCUCUGCGCCAGGCAAAUGCUCCCUGCUGUACCUUAAGUACUGGGUGAAAAUAUGUGGGGGCGAGGACCCAUCAUCAGAGUCCAACCCUCGUCAACCACCGCCACAUCCACCGUGUCCUGAAUCAGGGCUCACAUCAACCCACCACGUGGGCUCCAUGAUUAAAAUCAUUUCAGGAGCCAGGCGCGGUGGCUCACGCCUGUAAUCCCAGCACUUUGGGAGGCUGAGGUGGGCGGAUCAGGAGUUCGAGACCAGCCUGACCAACAUGGUGAAACCCCGUCUCUACUAAAAAUACAAAAAAAUUAGCUGGGCAUGGUGGCACGCGCCUGUAAUCCCAGCUACUUGGGAGGCUGAGGCAAGAGAAUCGCUUGAACCCGGGAGGCAGAGAUUGUAGUGAGCCGAGAUUGCGCCACUGCACUCCAGCCUGGGUGACAGAGUGAGACUCCAUCUCAAAAAAAAAAAAAAAAAGAGAGAAAAUAAAAUCAUUUCAAGAAUGAGGAGCUGAGGCACAGAGGGGUUAAGUAGGUCCCCCAAGGUGACAGAAGCAGUCAGCAAUGGCCCCAGAAUUCAAGGCCAGGCUGUUGGGGUCUUUCAGAGCCCAUAUGUGUCACCAGACUCUACAUCUUCUCUCUUAGGAGUGCAAGUCAAUGAAUUGUUCACCCCUGGAUUCCAGGCAGGCAGGAAUUCUUGUUCAUCAGCAUGAGCAGAUGCCACAUCUUGAAUUUUCCCUGCACGUUAAGUAAGGAUUUGGCUCUCGCCUGUUCUCUCCUCCCCCACCCACCUCUGCAGCUGACUUUAAUGGCUUUUGACAGUUAUUUGUAUAAUUUGAGUUUUGUGGCAUCACAAAGAUCUUUCUCCUGGGGAAGAUUACAUGAAACUGUUUUGACAGCUCUCACCAAAGGGGUAACACUUAAUAUAUAACAGUUCAUCAAACAAAACCGGGAUCCAAGAAUACCUUUUGCUGUUAGUCAUGAUGAUAUCACCUUUAGGUCUAAGAAAAAAGAAGGGGAAAAAAAAGACAGAAAACCUUCUUUAUGCUGUGACAUUUCUGAGAGAAAAUCAAAUCGUUGAACUGAUGUAUUUUGUGAAGGUGAAAGACCUGUCUGUUCUGCACAUGUGAUUAGAAAGUUUUGGAAAUGAAUGAACACCAUUUGUAAGAUAAAUUUAAGGAGCCCUGAGUUGACUCCAAGCCCUCUGAGCUUUUUCUUUAUUCUCUCUUCUCUGGUUGAGGAGUUGUUAAGUCUCUAAAUCAAUCAGCUAUCUCCUUUUGAAAUCCUGUUUGAAAACACUCAUUCUCCCCGAGGCCAGCUACUCUGUUUUUUUCCUCUCUCACUGCCUGGGUAAUUUGUUUUUAACUCUGCAACCCUGUUUUUUCUUGUUGGGGAGCAUUUUCCCAUAGAAUUUGUGUUAAAAGAGCUUUUGAGAGAUAAAGGUGGACCCAGAGCUUUCUGGAAGAGGACUGGAGUGGGGGAUAGUAGCGGGAGAGCCAGGUACCAGGUGCCUUAAUGCUAAUAAGCAAAUGCUGCUGUUUCUUUUCUUUUCUAUUUUUUUUUUUAAGAUGGAGUCUCAUUGUGUCAGCUCACUGCAACCUCUGCCUCCCACAUUCAAGCUAUUCUCCUGCCUCACCCU